UACGUAGGUGGCAAGCGUUGUCCGGAUUUACUGGGCGUAAAGAGCGCGCAGGCGGCUGGUCAAGUCCGAUGUGAAAUCUCCCGGCUUAACUGGGAAACUGCAUCGGAAACUGAUCGGCUUGAAGGUGGGAGAGGGUAGUGGAAUUCCCGGUGUAGUGGUGAAAUGCGUAGAUAUCAGGAGGAACACCAGCGGCGAAGGCGGCGCUCUGGGCUGGAACUGACGCUGAGGAGCGAAAGCGUGGGGAGCGAACAGG
rnacentral:rRNA from 1 species